GGGCUUGUAGUCUAGUGGUAUGACGUUGCCUUCACUCGGCAAAGGUCGGCGGUUCGAAUCCGCCCGAGCCCA
rnacentral:tRNA from 1 species